UGCUCUAUCAUAUAAGGGUUAGUAUAGGGGACUCUGAAUCCCUUCAUCUGAGUUCGAAUCUCAGUAGAGCAA
rnacentral:tRNA from 1 species